rnacentral:rRNA from 1 species
UACGUAGGGGGCUAGCGUUGUCCGGAAUCAUUGGGCGUAAAGAGCGUGUAGGCGGCCCGGUAAGUCCGCUGUGAAAGUCCAGGGCUCAACCCUGGGAUGCCGGUGGAUACUGUCGGGCUCGAGUCCGGAAGAGGAGUGUGGAAUUCCUGGUGUAGCGGUGAAAUGCGCAGAUAUCAGGAAGAACACCAACGGCGAAGGCAGCUCGCUGGGACGGUACUGACGCUGAGACGCGAAAGCGUGGGGAGCGAACAGG